GCCCGCGUGGCCUAAAGGAUAAGGCGUCUGACUUCUAAUCAGAAGAUUGUCGGUUCGAUCCCGGCCGUGGGCU
rfam:Necator americanus N_americanus-1.0_Cont163100.1, whole genome shotgun sequence.